UACGAAGGGGGCUAGCGUUGCUCGGAAUCACUGGGCGUAAAGGGUGCGUAGGCGGUUCUUUAAGUCAGGGGUGAAAUCCUGGAGCUCAACUCCAGAACUGCCUUUGAUACUGGAGAUCUUGAGUUCGGGAGAGGUGAGUGGAACUGCGAGUGUAGAGGUGAAAUUCGUAGAUAUUCGCAAGAACACCAGUGGCGAAGGCGGCUCACUGGCCCGAUACUGACGCUGAGGCACGAAAGCGUGGGGAGCAAACAGG
rnacentral:rRNA from 1 species